GCAAAACGCGAAGAACCUUACCAAGGCUUGACAUAUACGAGAACGGGCCAGAAAUGGUCAACUCUUUGGACACUCGUAAACAGGUGGUGCAUGGUUGUCGUCAGCUCGUGUCGUGAGAUGUUGGGUUAAGUCCCGCAACGAGCGCAACCCUCGUUCUAUGUUGCCAGCACGUAAUGGUGGGAACUCAUGGGAUACUGCCGGGGUCAACUCGGAGGAAGGUGGGGAUGACGUCAAAUCAUCAUGCCCCUUAUGUCUUGGGCUUCACGCAUGCUACAAUGGCCGGUACAAAGGGCUGCAAUACCGUAAGGUGGAGCGAAUCCCAAAAAGCCGGUCCCAGUUCGGAUUGAGGUCUGCAACUCGACCUCAUGAAGUCGGAGUCGCUAGUAAUCGCAGAUCAGCAACGCUGCGGUGAAUACGUUCCCGGGUCUUGUACACACCGGGUCUUGUACACACCGGGUCUUGUACACA
rnacentral:rRNA from 1 species